GUGCCUAACACAUGCAAGUCGAGCGAGAAGUAAAGAAAUGAAGCUUCGGUAGAUUUUCAUUAUGGAAAGCGGCGGACGGGUGAGUAACGCGUAGGCAACCUGCCCUGUACAGGGGGAUAGCCACCCGAAAAGGUGAUUAAUACCCCAUGAUGCAAGAGAUACACAUGUAUCACUUGUCAAAGAUUUAUCGGUAUGGGAUGGGCCUGCGUCUGAUUAGCUAGUUGGUAGGGUAACGGCUUACCAAGGCAACGAUCAGUAGUCGACCUGAGAGGGUGAUCGGCCACAUUGGAACUGAGACACGGUCCAAACUCCUACGGGAGGCAGCAGUGGGGAAUAUUGCACAAUGGGGGAAACCCUGAUGCAGCAACGCCGCGUGAAGGAAGAAGGCCUUCGGGUUGUAAACUUCUGUCCUAGGGGAAGAAACAAAUGACAUUACCCUUGGAGGAAGCCCCGGCUAACUACGUGCCAGCAGCCGCGGUAAUACGUAGGGGGCGAGCGUUAUCCGGAAUUAUUGGGCGUAAAGAGUGCGUAGGUGGCAUCUUAAGCGCAGGGUUUAAGGCAAUGGCUCAACCAUUGUUCGCCUUGCGAACUGGGGUGCUUGAGUGCAGGAGGGGAAAGUGGAAUUCCUAGUGUAGCGGUGAAAUGCGUAGAUAUUAGGAGGAACACCAGUGGCGAAGGCGACUUUCUGGACUGUUACUGACACUGAG
rnacentral:rRNA from 1 species